CAAACAUUCAAGUGUAUAGAUCCUAUAAAAAUAGUUUUGUUUUUUCGUUCCUAAGAGUAGGUCUCCUAUUCCUUUAGGCACAGGAUUUCAAAGUGUGAAAUCCACAUUUGUCUUUAGAAGGAAAAGAUAAGAAAAUCAGAGUAAAGCGGAAAUAGAUGAGAAAAGAUUAACAUAAGUUUAGAAAAGAAUUAGAGUAAGGUAAGUAGGUAAGGGUCUGACCAUUUCUAUCUAGGUUUCGUCCUACAGUCAACUUUUCCUCUGAUACCACUUCUGUCACACCCGGUUUUAAGGGACAAAGUCGGGUGCAUCUCAUACAUGCGCCAAAGAAGACAACAUAUAUAAUAACAUAGUGUAUAGAGAUAAAUGUCACAAUAAUCAGAGUAUUUAUUACAUAGCGGAAGUCUUACAAAAUAAAAAAAAAUAAAAGGAUCCAAAAUCUAUCCUUGGCGCUAGAAAGUCAACUGGGAGACGCCACCCAGAUCGAAUUGAACUCCUCGAUGUGUGGCUCCACUUGAACCACAUGUUCUUCUCCUGUGGGGGGGUGUGAGACAGCAAGGGUGAGCUCACAUACGUUCAUAGCUCAACAAGUUGUGGGGACUAAUGUGCAUGAACUCCCCAAAGGUGGAAGUUCAUGUGAAGUGUAAGGUUGAUCAACAAAAUAAAGGUUGAGGCUGAGCAUUGCUUUUAUAAGUUGGUCAAAAUUUUAUUAGCAAUUACUAAGUAUAAGUAUAUACCAAACCAUAAUAAAUAAUAGAACAAAAUUAAUAAAUAAUCUCAUGCAAAUGCAAAUGACAAAUUGAAUUUAAGUUACAUAAAUUAAUCAUGUGAGUGUCCGAGCUGCUCAUGACCGUGAGCACGACUAAUAUACCAGUUUUACACUCUGCAGAGGUUGUGCAUGUUUACCCACAAGUCAUGUUACCCAUCUUCCAAGGGGUCAUGAAUCCCAUACACCUCUACUAAGAAAGCGAGGCAGGGUAACACUACGAGGCCUUUACAAUGUUCCACUAGCUUCAGAAAACCCGCUACAGUUUCUAGGAAGCUCCAAUGCAGGGAUCCCUCACCUGACCGCCAUCAUAGCAUAAUCAACCCAAGGACCUCCCUACACUGACCACUCCCCUACUGCCCUUGCCCCUUUCGGGUAAGGUAGUCAUCCACUAGCUUUCCUAAUUAGUCAGCCAAGGGCAUCCCAUACUACCCUUGUGGUGGCACUAUUUUCCCGGGUGGUUCUCCAUGUUCCCAUUAACAUAAUGAUCUUAUCAUGAACAUAAAUAACAUAACAGAAUAAUAGGAACAUGGAUAUAAUGAAAUAUUAACCCAAAAACCGUGUAAAGCAAUAGCAUAACUACCCAAUGAUUCAGGGGUAAACAAGGUAAAAGAUAAACAGUCUAGGGUGACCUAUUGGGUCCCAUCAAAAUUAAACCUAUGCAUGAAUAGUGAUAAUAAAGAAUAUAAUUGUGUAACAAAAGUGGAUCAAGGGCAAAACUUGCCUGGCACUUGAGAUUCCAGUUACCUGGGUGAUUCUUUAGAUCCUCGAAACCUCGCGCUAGUCGUAGCAAUACAAACAAACAUGGUAUAGAUAAAAUUAACAUCACACCAAACAUAACAACAAACUGAAUAAUAAUGAUCUACGCGAAGCUAUAAGAUCGUGGGAUCGAGAACUACUAAGAUCGGAGUUACGAUUAAGGAGUUAUGAUUUUAUAGAAGAUCCGUGUGAUUAAAUAUUAAACUAUAUUAUAAAUUGGUUAAUAUAAAUCAUAUGAGAGGUUAUUUUAUAAAUAAUUAUCUCAACUUUAAUCUAAGUUAUGAAUUGACCAUAAAUCAUCUUAUAGUAGAUUAUAAUGAUAAGUAGAUUAACAAGACUAACCCACAAAAAUUAAAUAAAGAUCUAAUUAGAAAAGAAUGAGACAUGGUAUAAUAACUAUUGUUAUUGCAUAGUAAUUAUUUAUACGAGACUAAUGCAACUUGAAUGGAUCAAAUCGGAGUUAUAGAUUUUAAGUUAUGAAUUUCCAAAGAUUUUAUGUGUUUUGUACAAGAUUAAAUAGAAUAUAAAUUUAAUUUGACUUUCAUGUCAAAACAGUGGUACUAACUAAUAAACAAUAAUAUUACAAAAUUAUAGGAAUUGGAAUGGAUUAAUUUGGACUCCAUAUGAAUUUUCUAUGAUUUAUAAAAAUUUCAGCAUUUAUUUUCACGUUUAAAAAUCAUUUUCCAAUUACUUUUAGUGGAUUUCUAAUUCCCUGGACUGGGCGUCAAAUUCUAGAAAAGACAGGAGCUCAUCUAUAAUUUUCCACAAGACUCAGACCGCAACCCUACUGGACGGCGGGUUAAUUCACAAGAAGUCGAAGGGCUCUUUUGCAAACAUGCGAGGUCGAAGGGGUAUGAGAGCGUCAGAGCCGUCCGAUCGAAAUCUGAAGAUCCAGAUUAGAUCCCGAGCCAAUCGAACGAAAUACAGUGCGGACCUUCGGAUUAAGAUCUAACGGUGUAGAUGUUUAUAUAUCCAGAUCCAAUCGCCACCACUGGAUCUACAGCCUACGGUUCAGAUUCUAAACUCCGGAGAUCGCACCGCGUCCAUCCGAUCACGGAUCAAUGGUCCGAGCAUGACUGGGGCUUUGCAGUCAAUCGUGACCGGACACGCAUGGAUCAACGGCCGAGCGGCGUCCAAACCGAAGGGGUACGCAUAUCUAAACCACGCCGUUAGAUCCGGAUCCGAUGACCGGUGUUCAUCAACUAACCCAGCGGCGGCUGAGCGGCGGCGCGCUUAUGCCCCGCGGCGGAGCAUCGCCGUCGCGUGCUUGAUCCGGCUCCUAGUGCGAGCCACUACGCGAUUUCUAGUGCAAAACGAAGCCAAUAGAACAACAAGGGCGGAGAUGGUGAUUUUACCGGCGAUUAAGCUCUAAGGAAGUCCGCCCUCGCUGCGCGGCGGCUCGAGCACGAGAGGAGAGGUCCAGCGACCAAUUCGUGAAGUCCUCGACGACAAUUCCAGGUGGCGUGGCCACCAGCGCCCGCCCCGCAGCCGAGGGAAGGCCCUGAGCCCCAUAAUGGAGGCGCGGACGACGGCAAGCCGGAGCACCCCUGCAGUAGCCCCAGCUUCUCUCCGUGGCGGCAGGAAAUUCUCACGAUUGCGGCAAGGAUGGCGGGGUAAGGGUGGGGCGAGUUGAUCGAGUCGCUGGCCGAGUCCUUUAUGCGCCCCUGGGGUUCGCAGCAUGAGCUGUAGGCAGUCGUUCCGCCGAUCCGUACAAGGCGGAAAUCUCCCGG
rnacentral:lncRNA from 1 species